rnacentral:rRNA from 1 species
AUUGAACGCUGGCGGCAUGCUUUACACAUGCGAGUCGAACGGCAGCGCGGGCUUCGGCCUGGCGGCGCGUGGCGAACGGGUGAGUAAUACAUCGGAACGUGCCCAGUAGUGGGGGAUAGCUCGGCGAAAGCCGGAUUAAUACCGCAUACGACCUGAGGGUGAAAGCGGGGGAUCUUCGGACCUCGCGCUAUUGUAGCGGCCGAUGGCAGAUUAGCUAGUUGGUGGGGUAAAGGCCUACCAAGGCGACGAUCUGUAGCUGGUCUGAGAGGACGACCAGCCACACUGGGACUGAGACACGGCCCAGACGCCUACGGGAGGCAGCAGUGGGGAAUUGUGGACAAUGGGCGAGAGCCUGAUCCAGCAAUGCCGCGUGUGUGAUGAAGGCCUUCGGGUUGGAAAGCACUUUUGGCGGGAACGAAAAGGACUGUGCCAAUACCACGGUUCGAUGACGGUACCCGCAGAAUAAGCACCGGCUAACUACGUG